rnacentral:rRNA from 1 species
UACGGAGGGUGCAAGCGUUAAUCGGAAUUACUGGGCGUAAAGGGCGCGUAGGCGGUCUGUUAAGUUCGGUGUGAAAGCCCCCGGCUCACCUGGGGAACUGCGCCGGAAACCGACAGACUCGAGUACCGGAGAGGAGGGUGGAAUUCCUGGUGUAGCGGUGAAAUGCGUAGAUAUCAGGAGGAACACCAGUGGCGAAGGCGGCCCUCUGGACGGAUACUGACGCUGAGGCGCGAAAGCGUGGGGAUCAAACAGG